rnacentral:rRNA from 1 species
CCCCCCCCCCCCCACUUGUGUUUUUUUUGAUUAACGGGGGGGGACCUUUCCCGGGGGUUAAAAAUGGGGGGUUUCCGGGAAAAGGCGCUUUUUUUUUGGCCCCCCAAUUAGGUUCGCAAAGGUUUUCUUAAGUUCUGCCCCUAAGGGGUGGGGUUUAAGGGCCCAAAAGAGGGCCACCUUUUUUCCCGUUUGCAUUCAGUAAAGGCUGGGCCCUCCCGGGACCUUGCAAUCGUAAAAUUUGAGGAAGGUGGGAAUACGGUCAAAUCAGCCCGGGCCUUUACGUCCGGGGGUUACACACGUUGUUACAAUGGGGGGUACAGAGGNCCGCUAUCCCGCGAGGGUGCGCCAAUCCUCANAACCUCUCUCAGUUCGGACUGGAGUCUGCAACCCGACUCCACGAAGCUGGAUUCGCUAGUAAUCGCGCAUCAGCCAUGGCGCGGUGAAUACGUUCCCGGGCCUUGUACACACCGCCCGUCAAGCCAUGAAAGCCGGGGGUGCCUGAAGGCCGUAGCCGCGAGGGUCGGCCUAAGGCAAUACCGGUGAUUGGGGCUAAGUCGUAACAAGG